AGUUCAUUUAUGGUUUUAGAGACUCCCCAGAGGCACUGGAAAUUAUAUCCUCAUUUUAAGCUCUAUUAGAGCCAGCCUGGGCAAUGGUGAGGCCACACUAGCAGCUCUUCUACUAGGCCUAUGGGAUGUCAACCAGUGAUGGUGGCAGCAGGACUCUGGCUGGACUGCUAGGCUGGCUUUCUUAGGCGUGCGUGGGAUUCCAAGGGUCAUGCCACCGACCUUCCCCGCAGACGAAUUUCGUUGGAAAUGUGGAUCUUUACAUCAGUACUAAAAAACGGACCUCAUGCAAAAUCUGGUUUCAGACGACCAACUAAGAGGAAAACACAAUGCAGAUA